rnacentral:rRNA from 1 species
UGGGGAAUUUUGGACAAUGGGCGAAAGCCUGAUCCAGCAAUGCCGCGUGUGUGAAGAAGGCCUUCGGGUUGUAAAGCACUUUUGUCCGGAAAGAAAUCCUUGGCUCUAAUACAGUCGGGGGAUGACGGUACCGGAAGAAUAAGCACCGGCUAACUACGUGCCAGCAGCCGCGGUAAUACGUAGGGUGCAAGCGUUAAUCGGAAUUACUGGGCGUAAAGCGUGCGCAGGCGGUUUGCUAAGACCGAUGUGAAAUCCCCGGGCUCAACCUGGGAACUGCAUUGGUGACUGGCAGGCUAGAGUAUGGCAGAGGGGGGUAGAAUUCCACGUGUAGCAGUGAAAUGCGUAGAGAUGUGGAGGAAUACCGAUGGCGAAGGCAGCCCCCUGGGCCAAUACUGACGCUUAUGCACGAAAGCGUGGGGAGCAAACAGGAUUAGAUACCCUGGUAGUCCACGCCCUAAACGAUGUCAACUAGUUGUUGGGGAUUCAUUUCCUUAGUAACGUAGCUAACGCGUGAAGUUGACCGCCUGGGGAGUACGGUCGCAAGAUUAAAACUCAAAUGAAUUGACGGGGUCAUAGCUGUUUCCU